rnacentral:rRNA from 1 species
AUACGAAAGGUGCAAGCGUUGUUCGGAUUUACUGGGCGUAAAGAGAUCGUAGGUGGUUUAUUAAGUCGGAUGUGAAAUCCCGGGGCUCCACCCCGGAACUGCAUUCGAUACUGGUAGACUAGAGUUCGGGAGGGGUAAGCGGAAUUCCGUGUGUAGCAGUGAAAUGCGUAGAUAUACGGAGGAACACCUGAGGCGAAGGCGGCUUACUGGACCGAUACUGACACUGAGGCUCGAAAGCGUGGGUAGCAAACAGGAUUAGAAACCCUAGUAGUCC